rnacentral:rRNA from 1 species
ACGGGUGAGUAACACGUGGGUAACCUGCCCUGUACUCUGGGAUAAGCCCGGGAAACUGGGUCUAAUACCGGAUACGACCACCGAGGGCAUCUUUGGUGGUGGAAAGUUCCGGCGGUAUGGGAUGGACCCGCGGCCUAUCAGCUUGUUGGUGGGGUAAUGGCCUACCAAGGCGACGACGGGUAGCCGGCCUGAGAGGGUGACCGGCCACACUGGGACUGAGACACGGCCCAGACUCCUACGGGAGGCAGCAGUGGGGAAUAUUGCACAAUGGGCGAAAGCCUGAUGCAGCGACGCCGCGUGAGGGAUGACGGCCUUCGGGUUGUAAACCUCUUUCAGCAGGGACGAAGCGCAAGUGACGGUACCUGCAGAAGAAGCACCGGCUAACUACGUGCCAGCAGCCGCGGUAAUACGUAGGGUGCGAGCGUUGUCCGGAAUUAUUGGGCGUAAAGAGCUCGUAGGCGGUUUGUCGCGUCGGCCGUGAAAACUUGGGGCUUAACCCCGAGCCUGCGGUCGAUACGGGCAGACUUGAGUUCGGCAGGGGAGACUGGAAUUCCAGGUGUAGCGGUGAAAUGCGCAGA